rnacentral:lncRNA from 1 species
UGACAAUGAUGUCUGACCCAGCACCAUCAUUCACUAACCACGUGGCCUCUGGCCAGGCAUCUACCUUCUCAGAGACUCAGAGUUUCUCUUCCAUGAAGAGGGCUGCUGAAAUUAAGUAGCAUUUAUGGUUUUCUGAAGGGCCUAGGCCAGCGACUGACAGAGAGAGAUAUUGAACAGAGAGCUGCUGAAUGGGUGCACAUGUUCUAUGGGUAAAGGAGUCUUCAUGAAGACUGAGUAUUUUCAGGCCUGCUCCUGCAUCCAGACUUAAACAGGGUUGGGAUCCACCAUCUCUCUGAAAGGAGCUUGGUGCACCAGGAUGACCACUUCCCUCGGUGGCUGUGGAGAGGGUGUCCAAGGGCUGGUGGCCUAGGCCUGCCACAGAAGCCUGAAAACUUGCUGGAAUAGAUCCUGGAAAGGCCAUGGAGAAUGGAUGGUGAGAGAGACACCCCACCCCUGCCCCCUAUAGGGAGAUUUCAUGGAAGGAAAUGGACUGCUUCUGACUGGUCUCUUGAGGAGUAAGAAAGUGGUGAGAGGGGCAAGCCUGACUUGACCAAGACUGGAGAAAGACACUCGCCCUUCUAAUUUUUUGGAACCUUUCUUGAAGAGGCAGGGUUUUCAGCUUCAGGCAUGGCUUGGUCCCUUCCACUUGCUUGCUCCAGGAUAUGACCUUGAGAGGAACCAACACUCCAGCUUGCACCUGGGGUUGCCUUUUUCAAGGCUUUGCAUUGACUCCCUGACUCCCUGUCCCCAAGAGCGUCCACUGAAAAGCUGUCAGAGGCAUCCAUGUGGCAGAGGAGGACUGAGGCCAAUGCCAGCUGGAAUGGUAUCACAGAACUAGAGCUUCUGAGGUUGUAGGAUUCAUGAGGCAUUGGGAAGAGACAGAGGAGGUCAUUUGAGUCUCUUUCUGAACUUCAUCUCACCUGUAUCUUUUGUUCCUUACACUCUGAUAGCAGGGACAACCUAAAAGAGGGUCUGAUGGAGGAGAGAAAGCAGGCUGAUCCUGGGCCCUUGGGUGCUGGAGGAAGAGGCCCCCUGAAGGGAGCAGGAGAAGAAAGGACAGCAGAGGAGUGCUGAAAUUCACCUUGCUGACUGCCCUGCUGACUGCCCUGGGCCACUGUUCUUGGCUUUAGGAGAUUCAAAGUCUAAGAAAGAUCCCUUUCCCCUGAUCCGCCAAAGUUUUCAUUUCCUGGAGAAAUAGCUUCUCUCUCUGCGUGUUUCCGUCAACUCUCAGCAAGACCUGAACAAGUGCAUGAAGGUGAUAAACCUGCUACUUCACUGGGGCUGUUUAUUUCCAGUCGACAAAUAUUGUGCCAAUGUUCACUUCAAUUAGGGGACACAUUUGACAAUCUGACUACUCCAUCUGAUGCCUCAAGGGCAAAUUUCAGCUCUUUCAGGAAGGGAUGGGCCAAUAACGGAUUCGUAUGAAUAAAAUAUACAGAGAAGGAACAUUCGCAGCAGUUUGGGGAAACCACCUUCUCCAGCAAGGAGAGCAAAAUGUCUACAUGAAGAUAAAAUUCACAUAAAUAAAGCAUGGGGCUUAAACUGUUGGGAUGCUGGGAAUUCAGAGUGAAGGCUCCUGUGCCUGCUUGCCCAUCACCUGCCUGGAGUUGGGAAUUAAGAAGUGCAAAUCAGCACUAAGGAGCCUAAGACAUUUGUAAUUCUAUGGAAGAAAAUCAUUGUGGCAGAGUUCAACUCGCUAAGAAUCUUACUCGUUUAUUCCAGUUUUAAAAACCAUCCUAGCAACCAGAAGUUUUUUGUGGUGUUUAAUUUUUAAUCCUUCUGUUUAAUUCCCUUUCUUCUUUAUUACCCUGAAGAUAAUCAGAAAAGCUGCUCAGCAUCCCCUUUUUACAGCUUUUCACAUCCUGGAAGGUAGAGUCAAGGACCAGGUCCCAUGAAUAGAGCUCUUCCUGCUCGGAAUUGACCUUGGGUCCAUGUUACCCUUUUCCUGGCAGCAGCAGACUAGAGGAUGAGUUAGGUCUUCUGUAGCACCUGCCUUGGGCAAGUGCCAUCAGCUCGCUGGACUCCUGUAUUCCCAUCAGGGAAAGGGAAAGUCAGUUCCUUCCUCAUCUUGGAAGGGUCUCCUGGGAAUCAAGUCAGGUGCUAAGAGGGGAAGGAAGUGAAAGUUUGAUAGAAAUGAAGGGACUCUCGUCGUUUGGUUCCUGUUUUUUGGGCUGACCUGGUCAGUACAAAGAACUCCCAGAGGCAGCUUCGUCACUGAGAUGGGAAAACAAAAGCAAAAAUUACCCUUAAGGCCAGGCUCAGUGGCCCACACCUAUAAUCCCAGAACUUUGGGAGGCCAAG